rnacentral:rRNA from 1 species
UUCGUUGGUGAACCAGCGGAGGGAUCAUUGCUGGAACGCGCCCCGGCGCACCCAGAAACCCUUUGUGAACUUAUACCUACUGUUGCCUCGGCGUCAGGCCGGCCUCCUCACCGAGGCCCCCCGGAGACGGGGAGCAGCCCGCCGGCGGCCAACCAAACUCUUGUUUCUAGUGAAUCUCUGAGUAAAAAACACAAAUGAAUCAAAACUUUCAACAACGGAUCUCUUGGUUCUGGCAUCGAUGAAGAACGCAGCGAAAUGCGAUAAGUAAUGUGAAUUGCAGAAUUCAGUGAAUCAUCGAAUCUUUGAACGCACAUUGCGCCCCCUGGUAUUCCGGGGGGCAUGCCUGUUCGAGCGUCAUUUCAACCCUCAAGCCUGGCUUGGUGAUGGGGCACUGCUCCGAGAGGAGCAGGCCCUGAAAUCCAGCGGCGCACCACCGUGGAAAACCGAGCGUAGUAUCAUAUCUCGCCCGGUACGCCCACGGCGGCCCUGCCGUUAAACCCCCAACUUCUGAAAAUUUGACCUCGGAUCAGGUAGGAAUACCCGCUGAACUUAAACA